UAGCCAAACACCGUCAUAUUUUUUUAUUCCCAUUGGAUUACUAGGAAUUUUUAAAAGAUAGCGCGAACAAAACGCACCCUAAAAGUAAAUGCCGGUGUAUCAAAAUAUUGCAAGAACUUGGACGGCCCUUUGGCAACCGUUGCAUGUGCUCAGUUCGUUAGCGAGCCCAAGCACUGUAGCAACUCGGAUGGCCUUUUGGCAACCGUUGCAUAUGAUAAGAUUAUUAAUGAGGAGAAAAGAUAGGAUUCUUUUUUUUUUCUUUUUUUUUUGUAAACUAAACUAUCUGAGCUUAUCACUUAUUCUUAUCUGCUAUUUUUUGUGGGGUUUCCCUGUUGCCUGUUAAAUGCUCUGUUUCUUAAAAGGGACGAAUAUAUGCUUAGCACAAAAACAGCUAAUUCUAAUUUUUAUACUUCUUUCGAAUUUUGGCAAGCUAAGUUUACUUACAUUUGUUCGCUGGAAUAGGCGUUUGAGCUUUUGUUUACAUCUUAGAAUUUGUUUAUAGUUUUUUUCCAGUUUUGUUGCGUCCUCUUUUUUCCCUCUCAUAAAAUGUUUACUUUGCAUCCUCUAUGCGAGGUAUUAUUUGUUGAUUUGAUUUUGUGUUAUGAGAUAAGCAAUGAUGAUUAAAAAAAACAGCAUUAUUUGUUUGCUGAAUAUUUUCUAAUUGAUAUCCUCUAUCCUAUAUUUUCUCCUUUGAAAAUUUUUUACUACGAAAUAGAUGCUUGCGUAUUGAAAUAUUGCAAGGACUUAGAUGGCCCUUUGACAACCGCUGCAUGUAAGGUCAUUUCUUUAGUGAGGAAAAAUGUUGCAGCAGCUUGGAUGAUGUAUAGCUAUUCGCUGUGUGAACAAUCCUAGAAUUAUAUCUCUUCUGCUUGACUCAUCAUUUUGUCUUAUUGGCUAUUAAAAAAGAGAGAUGAUAAAUGUGAGCUAUUCUCCAGUUUGGAAAAGAAAUAAUUUAUGAUGCCAUGAUUAUCUGAGCUCAUGAUACGAGGUGAGUCUUCAUGCAUCUUAAAUCCUAACUAUUAUUUUGGACUGAUUUAUUGCCAUGCAUGUUUUAGCGAAAUCGGUGGUUUGGUGGCGAUGUCACCAAGGGAACGGGUGGAGUGAUGGAAUUGGUGAAAAAGAUUUCGUUGCUGUAGCUGUUGUUCACAACAAGGAAAGAUAAAGCAGGAUAUUCACAAAUGGCAUUUACGUUGCUGAAGGAAUUAGCACUCGAAACGCAGCAUUGUAAGAUCGGAGUUAAAAUUAGUAGGAUAUGGGAAUUAACGAUGCCACAGCUUAAAAAGAUUUUUUAAGCUUAGACUGCCUUCUUAUAGAUGAAGAGGGAUAUGCGAUGCAAGCAACAAUCCGCAAACACGAUGCAAAACAUUUCAGAGCACAACUUUCUGAAGGGAAUGUAUAUGUUAUUGAAAAUUUCAAUGUUGUGCCCAGCAGAAACAGGUACAAAGUUGUAGAUCGCAAGUAUAUGAUCUAGAUUAGUAAAUGGACACGUAUUGCUGGGGCAGAAGAUGCUCAGAAUUUGAUUCCUGCAUUUAGCUUUCAUUUCCUAAAAUUUGAUUAUAUUAAAAACAAGAGAUGCACACUGAUGGCUACCUAAUAGAUGUUCUUGGAAGCAUUUCAACAAUUGGUCCUGUUUCUCAAAUAUACGUCGGACAAGAGUUGACUCCGCUAAGAAAUUUGGAAAUUCGGGAUCUUGAG